rnacentral:rRNA from 1 species
GACGAACGCUGGCGGCGUGCCUAAUACAUGCAAGUAGAACGCUGAAGGAGGAGCUUGCUUCUCUGGAUGAGUUGCGAACGGGUGAGUAACGCGUAGGUAACCUGCCUGGUAGCGGGGGAUAACUAUUGGAAACGAUAGCUAAUACCGCAUAAUAGCAGAUGUUGCAUGACAUUUGCUUAAAAGGUGCAAUUGCAUCACUACCAGAUGGACCUGCGUUGUAUUAGCUAGUUGGUGAGGUAACGGCUCACCAAGGCAACGAUACAUAGCCGACCUGAGAGGGUGAUCGGCCACACUGGGACUGAGACACGGCCCAGACUCCUACGGGAGGCAGCAGUAGGGAAUCUUCGGCAAUGGACGGAAGUCUGACCGAGCAACGCCGCGUGAGUGAAGAAGGUUUUCGGAUCGUAAAGCUCUGUUGUAAGAGAAGAACGAGUGUGAGAGUGGAAAGUUCACACUGUGACGGUAUCUUACCAGAAAGGGACGGCUAACUACGUG